rnacentral:rRNA from 1 species
UAAGGAAUAUUGCUCAAUGGGAGAAAUCCUGAAGCAGCAACGCCGCGUGGAGGAUGAAGGGUCUAUGACUUGUAAACUCCUGUAAAGAAGGAAAAAAUUCCCAUUAGAUGGGAGAUGAUGGUACUUCUGGAGUAAGCCCCGGCUAACUACGUGCCAGCAGCCGCGGUAAUACGUAGGGGGCAAGCGUUGUCCGGAUUUACUGGGUGUAAAGGGUGCUCAGGCGGAUUUGUAAGUCAGAGGUGAAAUCUUACAGCUUAACUGUGAAACUGCCUUUGAUACUGCAAGCCUAGAGUAUGGAAGAGAGUGAUGGAAUAUCUGGUGUAGCAGUGAAAUGCGUAGAUAUCAGAUAGAACACCAAUGACGAAGGCAGUCACUUGGUCCAUUACUGACGCUAAAGCACGAAAGCGUGGGUA